AACGCUAGCUACAGGCUUAACACAUGCAAGUCGAGGGGAAACGACAUCGAAAGCUUGCUUUUGAUGGGCGUCGACCGGCGCACGGGUGAGUAACGCGUAUCCAACCCGCCCAUCACUUGGGGAUAACCUUGCGAAAGUAAGACUAAUACCCAAUGAUAUCUCUAGAAGACAUCUGAAGGAGAUUAAAGAUUUAUCGGUGAUGGAUGGGGAUGCGUCUGAUUAGCUUGUUGGCGGGGUAACGGCCCACCAAGGCGACGAUCAGUAGGGGUUCUGAGAGGAAGGUCCCCCACACUGGAACUGAGACACGGUCCAGACUCCUACGGGAGGCAGCAGUGAGGAAUAUUGGUCAAUGGUCGGAAGACUGAACCAGCCAAGUAGCGUGAAGGAUGAAGGUUCUAUGGAUUGUAAACUUCUUUUAUACGGGAAUAAAACCUCCCACGUGUGGGAGCUUGUAUGUACCGUAUGAAUAAGCAUCGGCUAACUCCGUGCCAGCAGCCGCGGUAAUACGGAGGAUGCGAGCGUUAUCCGGAUUUAUUGGGUUUAAAGGGAGCGUAGACGGGGGAUUAAGUCAGUUGUGAAAGGCUGCGGCUCAACCGCAGCACUGCAGUUGAUACUGGUUUCCUUGAGUGCGGUUGAGGUGUAUGGAAUUCGUGGUGUAGCGGUGAAAUGCUUAGAUAUCACGAAGAACUCCGAUUG
rnacentral:rRNA from 1 species